AUUGAACGCUGGCGGCAGGCCUAACACAUGCAAGUCGAACGAGUGGCGGACGGGUGAGUAAUGUCUGGGAAACUGCCCGAUGGGGGGGGAUAACUACUGGAAACGGUAGCUAAUACCGCAUACCAUCGGAUGUGCCCAGAUGGGAUUAGCUAGUAGGUGGGGUAAAGGCUGACCUCGGCGACGCUCCCUAGCUGGUCUGAGAGGAUGAACAGCCACACUGGAACUGAGGCACGGUCCAGACUCCUACGGGAGGCAGCAGUGGGGAAUCUUGCACAAUGGGCGCAAGCCUGAUGCAGCCAUGCCGCGUGUGUGAAGAGGGCCUUCGGGUUGUAAAGUACUUUCAGCGUGGAGGCGUUACUCGCAGAAGAAGCACCGGCUAACGCCGUGCCAGCAGCCGCGGUAAUAC
rnacentral:rRNA from 1 species